rnacentral:rRNA from 1 species
UACGUAGGGUGCGAGCGUUGUCCGGAAUUACUGGGCGUAAAGAGCUCGUAGGGGGUUUGUCGCGUUGUCCGUGAAAACUCACAGCUCAACUGUGGGCGUGCGGGCGAUACGGGCAGACUGGAGUACUGCAGGGGAGACUGGAAUUCCUGGUGUAGCAGUGGAAUGCGCAGAUAUCAGGAGGAACACCGGUGGCGAAGGCGGGUCUCUGGGCAGUAACUGACGCUGAGGAGCGAAAGCGUGGGGAGCGAACAGG